AACGAACGCUGGCGGCAGGCCUAACACAUGCAAGUCGAGGGGGAAGCCACUUUCGGGUGGUGGAGACCGGCGCACGGGUGAGUAACGCGUGGGCACCUGCCCUGGGGUGGGGGAUAACCGCUGGAAACGGCGGCUAAUACCGCAUACGCCCUAUUUUCGUAGAGGAGAUGGGGGAAAGAUUUAUUGCCCUGGGAUGGGCCCGCGUUGGAUUAGCUUGUUGGUGGGUAAAGGCCUACCAAGGCGACGAUCCAUAGCUGGUCUGAGAGGAUGAUCAGCCACACUGGGACUGAGACACGGCCCAGACUCCUACGGGAGGCAGCAGUGGGGAAUAUUGGACAAUGGGGGCAACCCUGAUCCAGCCAUGCCGCGUGCGUGAAGAAGGCUUUAGGGUUGUAAAGCGCUUUCACCGGUGACGAUGAUGACGGUAGCCGGAGAAGAAGCCCCGGCUAACUCCGUG
rnacentral:rRNA from 1 species